rnacentral:piRNA from 1 species
AACUCUCUGGAAGAACCAGGCUUGC